UCUCCACCGCAGCCGCCCUAGCUACAGCCUAGCAACGGCGAGGUUCUAGCGGCCCUGGGUUCUACAGGCCUUUCAGAGUCGAGGAGCGCCAAGGGCCUAGAGACAAUCGAGAUAGGAGAGAGAAUGUGUCAGCCGAGCUGCGAGCCGAAGAGCGAGGCAACGGGUGGACUCUGGUGGAAUUGUGCUUUGGUUUGUCAAUGGGCUCUUAUGAAGAGAGUAGGUGCUGUUUCCUGACUCCCUCCGGAAGGAAUUCUUUCAGCAUCCUUGUUCUGGUAGAAUAGAUAGCCAAGUACACAGGAGCAGAAGCGUGGAAGCUGUCCAUCUCUUCUGCAGUUAGAGACCAGCUGAUUGGAAAUAAAGGCACCAUGACACUUUCCCAGGGACCGUACAGGGCCACUGAAGGACGUCUUGAUAAGGAGAAAAUGUAAAGGAGCACAAGGACACCUUGACCUUUGGAGCAUAUCAGAGUAGGAUGACAUGAAGGCGGUCAAAGAAAGGAACUGACAAUGACAUCAUAAGAGGAGGAGACUAUAAGAACCGUCUUUAAAAAUCCACAGUGCAGAACCCAGUGGACUCUCCCUUCCGGCAGCCUGCCCCACGUUUGC